GACGAACGCUGGCGGCGUGCUUAACACAUGCAAGUCGAACGGAAAGGCCCUGCUUUUGUGGGGUGCUCGAGUGGCGAACGGGUGAGUAACACGUGAGUAACCUGCCCUUGACUUUGGGAUAACUUCAGGAAACUGGGGCUAUUACCGGAUAGGAGCUCCUGCUGCAUGGUGGGGGUUGGAAAGUUUCGGCGGUUGGGGAUGGACUCGCGGCUUAUCAGCUGGUUGGUGGGGUAGUGGCUUACCAAGGCUUUGACGGGUAGCCGGCCUGAGAGGGUGACCGGCCACAUUGGGACUGAGAUACGGCCCAGACUCCUACGGGAGGCAGCAGUGGGGAAUAUUGCACAAUGGGCGGAAGCCUGAUGCAGCAACGCCGCGUGCGGGAUGACGGCCUUCGGGUUGUAAACCGCUUUCGCCUGUGACGAAGCGUGAGUGACGGUAAUGGGUAAAGAAGCACCGGCUAACUACGUG
rnacentral:rRNA from 1 species